rnacentral:rRNA from 1 species
AUGGCGGAGGAGGGCCACCCGUCCCGCUACGUCAAGCUCACCAAGGACCAGGACGCCCCCGGCGAGGACAUCCGCCCCGGCGAGCUCAACCAGCCCGUCCACGUCCCCCAGCUCGAGGGCCGGAGGUGCGGCGAGUGCGGCCAGGUCCUCCCGGAGAGCUACGAGCCGCCCGCCGACGAGCCGUGGUCCACCGGGAUCUUCGGGUGCACCGACGACCCCGAGAGCUGUCGCACUGGAUUGUUCUGUCCUUGCGUGCUGUUUGGGCGCAACGUUGAGGCCCUCAGAGAGGAUAUCCCUUGGACAACGCCUUGUGUUUGCCAUGCUAUCUUUGUGGAAGGAGGGAUUACACUUGCAAUCCUGACAGCAAUAUUUCAUGGUGUUGACCCAAGAUCAUCAUUUCUUAUUGGAGAAGGUCUGAUGUUUAGUUGGUGGCUGUGUGGUACCUAUACUGGCAUUUUCCGUCAAGAACUCCAGAAGAGAUAUCAUCUCAAGAACUCCCCAUGCGACCCAUGCAUGACCCACUGCUGCCUGCACUGGUGCGCCAACUGCCAGGAGCACCGCGAGAGGAGGGGCCGCCUGGCCGACCACAGCGCCGUGCCCAUGACCGUCGUCAACCCGCCCCCCGUGCAGGAGAUGAGCAUGUCAGAGAACCGCGACGCCCCCGCCCCUGCCAACCCAGAAAACGGAUCAUCCAACAAGGCCGAGCUUGAAGCGCGCAACAGCGAUCACGACGCCGUCGACGUCAUCCCCCUAUAG